rnacentral:rRNA from 1 species
UGCAGUCGAGCGGUAGCACAGAGAGCUUGCUCUCGGGUGACGAGCGGCGGACGGGUGAGUAAUGUCUGGGAAACUGCCUGAUGGAGGGGGAUAACUACUGGAAACGGUAGCUAAUACCGCAUAACGUCGCAAGACCAAAGUGGGGGACCUUCGGGCCUCAUGCCAUCAGAUGUGCCCAGAUGGGAUUAGCUAGUAGGUGGGGUAACGGCUCACCUAGGCGACGAUCCCUAGCUGGUCUGAGAGGAUGACCAGCCACACUGGAACUGAGACACGGUCCAGACUCCUACGGGAGGCAGCAGUGGGGAAUAUUGCACAAUGGGCGCAAGCCUGAUGCAGCCAUGCCGCGUGUGUGAAGAAGGCCUUCGGGUUGUAAAGCACUUUCAGCGGGGAGGAAGGCGUUAAGGUUAAUAACCUUGGCGAUUGACGUUACCCGCAGAAGAAGCACCGGCUAACUCCGUGCCAGCAGCCGCGGUAAUACGGAGGGUGCAAGCGUUAAUCGGAAUUACUGGGCGUAAAGCGCACGCAGGCGGUCUGUCAAGUCGGAUGUGAAAUCCCCGGGCUCAACCUGGGAACUGCAUUCGAAACUGGCAGGCUAGAGUCUUGUAGAGGGGGGUAGAAUUCCAGGUGUAGCGGUGAAAUGCGUAGAGAUCUGGAGGAAUACCGGUGGCGAAGGCGGCCCCCUGGACAAAGACUGACGCUCAGGUGCGAAAGCGUGGGGAGCAAACAGGAUUAGAUACCCUGGUAGUCCACGCCGUAAACGAUGUCGAUUUGGAGGUUGUGCCCUUGAGGCGUGGCUUCCGGAGCUAACGCGUUAAAUCGACCGCCUGGGGAGUACGGCCGCAAGGUUAAAACUCAAAUGAAUUGACGGGGGCCCGCACAAGCGGUGGAGCAUGUGGUUUAAUUCGAUGCAACGCGAAGAACCUUACCUGGUCUUGACAUCCACAGAACUUUCCAGAGAUGGAUUGGUGCCUUCGGGAACUGUGAGACAGGUGCUGCAUGGCUGUCGUCAGCUCGUGUUGUGAAAUGUUGGGUUAAGUCCCGCAACGAGCGCAACCCUUAUCCUUUGUUGCCAGCGGUUCGGCCGGGAACUCAAAGGAGACUGCCAGUGAUAAACUGGAGGAAGGUGGGGAUGACGUCAAGUCAUCAUGGCCCUUACGACCAGGGCUACACACGUGCUACAAUGGCAUAUACAAAGAGAAGCGACCUCGCGAGAGCAAGCGGACCUCAUAAAGUAUGUCGUAGUCCGGAUUGGAGUCUGCAACUCGACUCCAUGAAGUCGGAAUCGCUAGUAAUCGUAGAUCAGAAUGCUACGGUGAAUACGUUCCCGGGCCUUGUACACACCGCCCGUCACACCAUGGGAGUGGGUUGCAAAAGAAGUAGGUAGCUUAACCUUCGGGAGGGC